rnacentral:rRNA from 1 species
AACAAGGUUUCCGUUGGUGAACCAGCGGAGGGAUCAUUG